UGAUACAUUGUUUUAUCUUAAAUUCUUUCUUUACAAGAAGCUUUAAUCACUUAUAAAAAUUCACCCGAGUAUACACAGAACAAGGAAAGAUUGUUAGAGAACGUUACCGGGUACUUUUGUAGUCAAUACUCUACUUAUCUGGAGAGGAUAACAGAAAGCACUUUGAGUCUCUCGAUCUCGAUCCCCAUGAAUAUGUCCAAAAGCUUUUUUCUUUCUGAUAAUUUUUGCAAUAAUAAUUAGAAAGAAGAACUUUUGAGUAUUCUCACGGCACCUUAAACAGUAGAGUAAAGUUUUUGAAGAACUUGUUACUGACUAUUCGGAAGUUUUGCACAGCGACAGCGUUUAAACACUACAAGAUAAAAUAAGGGAAGUUUUCUUUAUAUAUCGUUUAUAGAAUAUUUGCUCGUUAUUAUUUAUAACAUUAAAAUGUUAGAACCGUAAGAAGGAAUAUACUUUUUAUUAAGUUUGAGAUUCAGAAGGCCAAAAUCGAGCUUCUUGACGUACUUUUAUACACUACUGAAUAUCACACGCAAUAUACAAAAGAUAAUGUGUCCGUCCGUUGGUGCAUAAAAAAGUCCAACCCGUUGAUGCAAAAAAUGAAAAAACUGAAGUACAAAGUAUUAUUGGAGACUUAUGAUUCAGAGACGGCCAGGUGUCUCAACUUAUAAGAGUUCGUUAGGCAUGUGAACCUCGUGCUUAGGCUUUAAGUUAUUGGCCUGUUUCACUACAGCCCGCACUUCUCUAACUUUAUGAAGAAAACGAGUUAAAGCAAGCACAUGUGCGCGUAUAUCCCAACUGAAGUUGAAACUCUGCGAGUACGAAAACUUGUGAAUGGGAUUUAGUGAAAUUGCAGGGAAGUAUGGAAAACAUUCAAAAGAAAUAGAAGAAUUGGAGUGGCAGCUUCAAACGCUUAAAGGG